AAUCACAUACUCUGGGAAUCUCCAAAUUGAUAACAAGUUGCCUUUAAUUAACUGCUCACUAAAUUGACUCUACCUAGUGUUGAGGGGUUUUCAUGAAUUCCCUGGGGUUUGGGAUGGACCUUGCUGUGGCUGGAGGAGAGCGGAGCUGUGACAAGCCGCCCCGGCAGUGCCACUGUGCCGGGAGAGGCGGGAUGCUGGCUGACCCAGGAUGCAGGAGAACAGACUGUGAAAAGAAGUGGUGAUUCAAGGGGAUCCCUCUGCAAACACCAUCAGCCAGUUUAUAACCAGUGAGCAGCGCCUCGGUUCCUCUGCUGACGGAAGGGGUUUUGAACCGCAUGAUGAGAAGCUGAAGGAAAGACAAGAAGUGACAGUGUGAGUAAUUCCAGAAGAUCCGGACUGUUUGGUGAGGCAGUUUUCCAUCUUUGAAGCAACAACCACAUCCCAGUUUGGUGUUUUGCUCUGGGGAGGACCGGUUUUCAGUGGCAGCAUCCUGUACAGUGCCAGCAUCCAUCACACAGCAACCCACAAUGCUCACUGGACCCAGAGAGGAACCUGCGAAUGAUGGAGGAAGGGAGAACUGCCCAGUAAGGGGGAGACAGGCAGGCAGGAGCGCCUGGAAGUGCUGGUAUGCAGGAGCCUGGUGAGAAAAAUAACCCUUCCCAAGUAGUCUGCCCCAUCCAAAAUGGUUUGUACCAAAGUUUCUUUCCCUGCCUGUCAGAGUGGAAAGGCACAAGCGUGUGCAUGGCCCCGAGCGCCAGCCCUGCGGCGUCAGGCACCGGCUCCCUGUUUCUGAUUUUUAGAUGAUCGAGUUUAAUCUUGGCCAGAUGGUGAAGACAGAACACACAUGACACGAGUAGGACCUGGUGGUGUGGUCAAGGCUGUGCCCUCAAGGCUGCUCAGGAGGCGGGUCCGCCAUGUUCACCCCCAGCUCUCGGGAGGAAAGGUGACACCUUUGUCCCGUGGGAACUCUGUCUGUCUGUCUGUCUGUCCGUGUCUGACAGCCCCAAGCCCAGGUCCGUUCUGCCCCUGCCCCAGUGGGCUCUCAGGCUGUGGCAAAACCCUCCUCUUCUCCCCCGGACUCGGGCCCAGCCUUCCUCUCUGCGGGCAGACGAGGGAGUUCAGCCUGAUUUCACGCAGCCAUUAUCAGGACUAAUACACCGUGACCGCCCACUUCUGCUUUUUCCGUAGUGUAUUAAUGCGGGAAAUGAAAGACUAAAUUGCAAAGGUUAACAGUUGGUGGCCUUCCUUAUCCUCGGUGCAAACCAGCGCUGCCUGAGGACCAGUAAUACCCCAUGAAUAUUCAGAGCACAGCUCCCAGCAACCGCAGGCUCCUUCUUUAUUUU